UUACAGCCAUAUCAUGUUGAAACAGCAGUUCUCGUACGAUCAUUAAAGUUAACCAAUGUCAAGCCUGGUCAGUACCUAGAUGGGUGACCAUUUGGGAAUAUCAGUUGUUGUAAG